AAUAAACAGUCUUCCUUCCGGGACCUAAUCGUAGGAAAGCCAUUGCAGCGCCCCAGAACUUAGUUAUGCCGACGGUUGGAUGCCUUCGUGGUCUUCAG
rnacentral:lncRNA from 1 species